rnacentral:rRNA from 1 species
AAUGAACGUUGGCGGCGUGGAUUAGGCAUGCAAGUCGUACGGGCCAGCAAUGGCCAGUGGCGAAAGGGAGAGGAAUACGCAGGUAUCUACCUCCGGGUCGGGGAUAGCCACGGGAAACUGUGGGUAAUACCCGAUAAUGUCUCCGGACCAAAGGUGUGAUUCCACCUGGAGAGGAGCCUGCGUCCUAUUAGCUAGUUGGUGAGGUAAUGGCUCACCAAGGCUACGAUGGGUACGGGGUGUGAGAGCAUGCCCCCGCUCACUGGGACUGAGACACUGCCCAGACACCUACGGGUGGCUGCAGUCGAGAAUCUUCCGCAAUGGGCGCAAGCCUGACGGAGCGACGCCGCGUGUGGGAUGAAGGCCUUCGGGUUGUAAACCACUGUCGUAGAGGAGGAAGGACCGGUGCAGAGCCGGUUUUGACCUAUUCUAGGAGGAAGGGUGGGCUAAGUUCGUGCCAGCCGCCGCCGUAAUAC